CGGCUUUUGGGAGAAAGCCCAAAACAAACAUUAAACGAGGGGACAUGAUCAACAUUACGAAUUCAACAACGAAAGCAUAAGUAUGUGAAUUAGGAAGUUGAACCGAGAUCACUCCAUCGAAUUUAGGAUCUUCAACAGGGCGGUGCUGCAGAUGUGAAUGGUCUAAUGGCCAUUAUUAGAAGACGAAUGGGCAAACAACUGAAGACAAUUUGGCCGGCGUCGCCAGGCGAUUAACUGAAGACAUCC
rnacentral:lncRNA from 1 species